GCCUUCAUGGUAUAGUGGUCAGCACGCUCGACCCGUAACCGAGAGGUCCGUGGUUCAAUUCCCAGCGAAGGAA
rnacentral:tRNA from 1 species